GCCUCGUGAAAGACAUGGGUAAUGAGAUGUCCUGUACAUCACAAAUUCUCACUACCUUGUCUUUCAUGAGGAU
rfam:Papilio xuthus contig17564, whole genome shotgun sequence.